CAUGCGACGCUUAUACUUUUGUUCAGUGUAGAUUUCCGCGGGGGCACGGACAUUGACUCUAGGGGGGUAAAAACCUUGCCUUAAUGAGAGUAGUGUCGACAGAGGCAGAGGCAAUCUGCAAUGCAGGAGGAGGCAGAGACCAAGAGGAAGCAAGCAGAGAGAGAGGCUUUCCGAGCAUUUGGAGAGUAAAAACCACCAACACUUGAAAAAAGAGAAACUGUGGCUUCUAGACAAUGGGGACCACCCCUCAGAGCCUGGUUCCUCUCUAGGUUUCUUCCAAGGUUCUGGCCUUUCUAGGGAGUUUUUCCUAGCCACCGUGCUUCUACAUCUGCAUUGCUUGCUGUUUGGGGUUUUAGGCUGGGUUUCUGUACAGCACUUUGUGACAUCGGCUGAUGUAAAAAGUUGCAAAUGCGCGCUGUACGUUACUUAGUGAUACGUCAUGAUGUAACGUACAGCGUCAGAGGGGUCCGUUUUUUCAUCUUUUCUCCAAUACUGUUAGGCUAUUACCAUGUCAAUCAACGCUGAAUCGAAACGUAGUUCACACUCCGGAUUUUGAUGCCAGCAAAGUUACUACAGUUCCAUUCGUUUUCAUUGUAGCCUCGUUUGAAUGUUGCGGUUACGCACAUUUCUACAGAAUAGGAUGUUUGUUUUUUCAAGAUGACAUCAUUAUCCCUGAAAACGUUUUUCACCAUGGAGACAGGAGUCAGAAGAAGAGACGAACGUUACACCACCGGGACCGUGAAGGAGCUGUGCCAUGAGCCAGGAUGUGGAGCAGGUGUCAUCAGUUCAUCCCAAAACGGAAGUGAUUUUUUUUCUCUCCAUCAAAUCAAAUCAAACUGUAUUUGUCACAUGCACCAAAUACAAUACAGUGAAAUGCUCACUUACAAUCCCUUAACACAACAAUUCCGUUUUAAGAAAAUAUAUAAAAAAAAAGUGAGAUAAGAAUAACUAAUAAUUAAAGAGCAGCAGUAAAUAACAAUUGCGGGGCUUUAUACAGGGGGU